UUUCAGAAACGUGAGUCAGCAGCGGAUGUUGAAGAAGCCACAGAAACCUCUGCUGUCUGCAAUAGCAUUCCUGUAUGUGAUGCAGUGCCGUCUAAGGGCCCGAAGAUCACGGGCAUCCAGUAUGGUUUUCCGGCCUUGACCCUUACGCACAGAGAUUGUUCCAGAUUCUCUGAAUCUUUGGAUGAUAUUAUGCACUGUAGAUGAUGAUAACUUCAAACUCUUUGCAAUUUUUCUCUGAGAAACUCCUUUCUGAUAUUGCUCCACUAUUUUUCGCCGCAGCAUUGGGGGAAUUGGUGAUCCUCUGCCCAUCUUGACUUCUGAGAGACACUGCCACUCUGAGAGGCUCUUUUUAUACCCAAUCAUGUUGCCAAUUGACCUAAUAAGUUGCAAAUUGGUCCUCCAGCUGUUCCUUAUAUGUACAUUUAACUUUCCGGCCUCUUAUUGCUACCUGUCCCAACUUUUUUGGAAUGUGUAGCUCUCAUGAAAUCCAAAAUGAGCCAAUAUUUGGCAUGACAUUUCAAAAUGUCUCACUUUCAACAUUUGAUAUGCUAUCUAUAUUCUAUUGUGAAUAAAAUAUAAGUUUAUGAGAUUUGUAAAUUAUUGCAUUCCUUUUUUAUUCACAAUUUGUACAGUGUCCCAACUUUUUUGGAAUCAAGUUUGUAUAACCCAUUUAUAAUUUAAAUAUAAGUUUUAUUUUUCAUGUCGCUAAGUACACAUUGCAAAAUUUCAGGAGUGACAACUGUAUUAAAUUGUGGGAUUGGAUCUGUUUGACAGAGAAAAACCACAGCAAUGAUGGUCAGAUAUGUCAAAAUAGAUCUGUGCAUUAAGUCUUGCUGUGUAAGUGCAAUAAAACUUCUGCUUGUUCUGUUACCUGUAAUGUUUCUUUGAUUUUCGUUUUAUUACUAACUUUUCUUAUUAACUGAACAGUAUUUGAAGGCUAAAUACCAAAGUUUUCAUCUAUUUAUUUAUAGUCAUUAAAAGCAUUAAAAUUAAAAGCUAAUUUCUGUGUGUGUGUGGCAAAGUUGGUCCCAAGAACCGUGAAAUUUGACUUAUUGGUACCGACUGAUGAAAUUUUGGUACAGUAAUAACACUAAUUUAGAUCAUAUUCCAAUUGAAUACAGAAAUAAUCAGAUUUGACUGACAGUGUGAACGUUGCCUUUAAAGCCUGCUGAACUGUCAGAUGCGGUUCAUUUUUCUUAAGCACACGUACAAUUAAUAUGAACAACAGUACUUUUUCAAACACAAGUGCCACAUUGGAGAGUCAGGCUAUGAUUAGUGUUUCCAGUUAUGUGUGCAAUAUUAAUAAAUCAGUCAAUGGACAGUGUUCACGAUCUGUGGAUGAGAUGAGAUACUGUAUGAAGCGACAUUCAUUUCUUUUGCAAGUGCAAAAGAUUAAGAUUUCUUUGUAUUUUUGUAUAAGUGGGCACAAAUUUGUAAGUGUAAAAAUAUUUGCAUAAAUUUGUAUCCUAAAAUCA